GCUCUCCCUGCAGGUACACGAAGAGGAAUGACUGUGUGCCAAGACAUUUUGUUUGCAAACAGGCUGAGGACUAUACUAUUCACAACAGCCCAGGACCCAACCGAGCGUCCACUGGCGGAUAACAGAGAUGCGCUGUAAAACAACGGAAGAGUAGCCAGCCGCAUAAAGGAGCGGAGCGUGGCCUUGGCGUGGUCACAAGCCCAGCACGGAAAGACAGAGCACGCGGUCUACUUACAUGAGGAGGCUAAAAGUUGAUGCCACCCAGCGGCACUGCAUAUGUACCAUAUGACCUGACGGCAAUUGGGAACCAUGUACUUCUCGGAUUAUCAAGAAGAAAAACACAAAGCUUCCCGCUCCUAGGACAGUUACGAGAGCACCCCCUUUCGGUGAACAGAGAGCAGUGUGUGCAUCAGAAUCGGGAUUAAUCAAGAACUGCCUAUGGAAUGCUGUGCUCAAGAGAAAACCCACCAGAAGCCAAGGCUGUAUACCGAAAUAAGAGGUGUACACAUAAGGAGACGACUCCCUAGGGGCUGCUCACGUUUUCAUGCUGCUUGUGAACAGAAGCACUGGCUGCCUUUACUCUGACUUUUCUUCCCAGAGACACAGGAAAUGUCUCCCUUUGUGGCAAGUUUGCUCAUUCUAAUAUAAGAUAUUGUCUCCUGUGCAUUAAAAAAGAACUGGGUUCCCUGAGCUCAGGGUUCCUGUCCUGUCUGUGUUGCAUCCGGGGCAGCAGGGGCAAGGAGAAGUGACAUAAGGACAUGGAUGUGCACGUCACUUGCUGUGCUCAAAGUCUCUUGUCUCUGACCAAGAAGCCGCUGCUCUUCUGCCGGCUCUCAGGACCAGCUGCCAGGCGACCUUGGAAACUUAAAUGACAAAUUUUCUAACUAUAUCACUGAGAAGACAGAGGGACCAAGCAUAUCCAUGUAAACUGUGUUUACGUGAAAGGAUAAUUUCUUCCAUGUUGUUAAUGUCACCAAAUUUUACUUUCCUGCAUCCUUAAAAGGUUUUCAUAUUUUAACACACAUGAAGCACUGUGAAGAAAUACACUGAUAGAAAAGGCAGUACACCAAAGAUAAUGUAAAGGCUGGGAGCUUCAAAGCUUACACGGGGCUGCAGAUGUGACGAGAAAGGUUCAUGGAGAUGGGAGUUCCAGAAGGAAAGUCACUUUGGGAAACACUGUCUCCUGCAUUAAAAAGAAAUUAUUACAAGUCUAAAAAAAGAAUCCAAAUGUAUUAGGAUGCACAGAUUACUAGCAUUAUUAAUCCCAAUGAACGCUUUUAUUUUUCACUUUAAACUGAUGUCCUCACAGUCAUUUAAUUUUUAAAAACCCUUUUAUAAUUUAUCUUUUCAUUGAAAAGUUAAUAAUGAAUCAACAUUUAACUUUAUGAAUUUUGGAUUAAUAAUAUAUUACCUUGUGGAGAAGAGUUAAAACUGUCAAUAUGAUGUAACUUUUUAGUAGAACCUUUAUCCUGAUAAAGAAAUUUAGCUAUAUGAUUAUAGUGCUCACCUCUUCAGUUUAAAAAGGCAAUAUAUAUGUCUAUUGUAGGAAAUCUACAAAAAGAAGUCAAAGUUUGAAGAAGAGAAAUUAUAAAUUACCUACAAUUAUCCUAUCACUAUGGGCACUUAGGUAUACUGCCUUAAAGUCUCUUUUACAUGUGUCUGUGUGUAAAAAAGUGGAAUCAUACUCCAUCUAUACUUUGCCUUUUUGGUCUUUUAUACCAUUUAUUACCUUAAGGACAUUUCCCUACCAUUACAUAAUCUUCAAAUGCAACUUACAGACUACAUACGACACUACACCACCACAUAGCAACACUGUUAGCAACUUUUAUCAUUCGUCUAAUGUUGCCCUUACCCUCCAAGCAAAAACUGCACUUGUAUUUUUCCUUAACGUUACAGACUGACUUUGCAAAGUCUCAUGUUGUUAGCACUGCCAGGGAAAUCCUUAGUCUUCAGUGGUAGCUGUGUGAACUGUAAGCUGUGAAAGCCAGACCUCCUGCAGCCAAGAAAACCACCCCCACCAGGCAAGAUGCCGAGUGCCGCCCUUCACCUAAGUCCGCGCAUUUCCGGAACGGUGAGACUGCCCCAAGGAGGAACCUGGUCUGUACCUUGGACCCGGAGAAAAUCUGGUCUUUGUGUGUAUAAAGCACUGAACUCAGCAAUACACAGAUACACAGUGUGUGGGGGUGAUUUAAAAAGAUUAUGAGGGUCAUUAGGAAAACGCUAAGAGGCCGGGUUGGGGUGUGGGGAACACAGCGCUGAGGUGCACUGGCUGGGGCCCCAGGCGGCCUCCCCAGGCCUGCUUUCCUGUGACCAGUGCACUGGGCUCCUGGACAGGACCCUCUGUGGUAGAGAGGGAAAAGGGAAGCGCACAGCUGCAGGUACCCCAGGAGGGUCUCUGUGGAGUGUGUAGGUCACGCUGAGUGAAGAGGGCAGAGGUGGGGGUGUACAGUGUGUGUGUGUGCGCGCGUGCGUGUGUGCAUGUGUGUCCUGGGGAGAGAGGCCCUAGGCUGAGCUACUGCUCAGCAAACCACAAACCCUGCUCAGCCCAUGUGGUCACAGCAACAGGACAGGGACACUGCCCUUCUCAUGGGCUCCUGGGCACUGUGUGAGUGGUCACAAGACGUGAACGGCUGGGCCUCAAGGCCUUCUUCCUCUUUCAUGAGGUUAAAAGUUUACUGUGCUGAAAAUUUAGUUAAAAGGAAUGAACUAAUUUUUGUACACAGGACUAUAAAAAACAAUGCUGAGUGAAAAAAGCAAGACAGAGAAAGUUCAAGUAGGAUUUCAUUUAUAUAAGCUGAAAACAAGCACUUCUACAUUCUGCUGAUGGAUGUAUGAAUGUAAAUUCAAAAUGGACUAAGUAUACACCACAUCGUGACAGGAGACACUGAGUCAGAAAGGAAAAGUAAACAGAUAAUAAAGUAUUUUCUUCUCAAAAAAAUACUAGAAGAAAAUGUGAAAAAAUUAAUAAUUCUGGAUAGAAAUAUACAUGCUUCUUUGAUCUCUCCUGUAUCAUUAAAUUUCUCAAAAAUAAGGGAAGUCAAGACUCACAACAGCAUUAUUCA